rnacentral:rRNA from 1 species
GAUGAACGCUGGCGGCGUGCCUAAUACAUGCCAGUCGAGCGAACAGACGAGGAGCUUGCUCCUCUGACGUUAGCGGCGGACGGGUGAGUAACACGUGGAUAACCUACCUAUAAGACUGGGAUAACUUCGGGAAACCGGAGCUAAUACCGGAUAAUAUAUUGAACCGCAUGGUUCAAUAGUGAAAGACGGUUUUGCUGUCACUUAUAGAUGGAUCCGCGCCGCAUUAGCUAGUUGGUAAGGUAACGGCUUACCAAGGCAACGAUGCGUAGCCGACCUGAGAGGGUGAUCGGCCACACUGGAACUGAGACACGGUCCAGACUCCUACGGGAGGCAGCAGUAGGGAAUCUUCCGCAAUGGGCGAAAGCCUGACGGAGCAACGCCGCGUGAGUGAUGAAGGUCUUCGGACCGUAAAACUCUGUUAUUAGGGAAGAACAAAUGUGUAAGUAACUAUGCACGUCUUGACGGUACCUAAUCAGAAAGCCACGGCUAACUACGU